GCUCCCAUCGUCUAGAGGCCUAGGACACCGCCCUUUCAAGGCGGCGGCGCGGAUUCGAAUUCCGCUGGGAGCGCCA
rnacentral:tRNA from 1 species